UACGUAGGGUGCGAGCGUUGUCCGGAAUUACUGGGCGUAAAGAGCUUGUAGGUGGUUUGUCGCGUUGUUCGUGAAAUCUCACGGCUCAACUGUGAGCGUGCGGGCGAUACGGGCAGACUAGAGUACUGCAGGGGAGACUGGAAUUCCUGGUGUAGCGGUGGAAUGCGCAGAUAUCAGGAGGAACACCGGUGGCGAAGGCGGGUCUCUGGGCAGUAACUGACGCUGGAGAAGCGAAAGCGUGGGGAGCAAACAGG
rnacentral:rRNA from 1 species